UACGGGGGGGGCAAGCGUUGUUCGGAAUUACUGGGCGUAAAGGGCUCGUAGGCGGCCAACUAAGUCAGACGUGAAAUCCCUCGGCUUAACCGGGGAACUGCGCUUGAUACUGCAUGACUAGAGAAUGAUAGAGGUGGGUGGAACUGAUGGUGGAGCGGUGAAAUGCGUUGAUAUCAUCAGGAACACCAGUGGCGAAGGCGACCCACUGGGUCAUUUCUGACGCUGAGGUACGAAAGCUAGGGUAGCGAACGGG
rnacentral:rRNA from 1 species